UGGAGGGCUGGGCCCGCGGUGCGUUGACUUGUAUUUUGGUUUUAACCCUUGGACUUCGUAGGGUUUACAUACCUCUCAGCUGCAACUGCCUGUCUACAUCCCUGGACUAUGAGCUGUUUUCCAAGUCCUGCCAAGUAUCAAUUGGCUGGUCUUAAGAUACUUAGUCACACCACAGCAAAAUCCUGUCAGCCAUCUGCUUUGGAAGGACCAGCUAAGGAUAUAAGGGACCUGGAGCCCAACUUUCAAAAAAAAUCACCUAUCUGCCCAUCAUGGCUGCUGCAGAC